rnacentral:rRNA from 1 species
UACGUAGGGUCCGAGCGUUGUCCGGAAUUACUGGGCGUAAAGAGCUCGUAGGUGGUUUGUCGCGUUGUUCGUGAAAACUCACAGCUCAACUGUGGGCGUGCGGGCGAUACGGGCAGACUAGAGUUCGGCAGGGGAGACUGGAAUUCCUGGUGUAGCGGUGAAAUGCGCAGAUAUCAGGAGGAACACCGGUGGCGAAGGCGGUUCUCUGGGCCUUACCUGACGCUGAGGAGCGAAAGCGUGGGGAGCGAACAGG